UUCAUUCACUCUCUCUCUCCACUGUCUCUCUCUCUCUAAUUCAACACUCUCUCUCUCUGCGAUCAAUUCUGUGAAUUUGUGUUGUUUGCGGUUACAAGAAUGUUGAUACCACUUUCAAUUGUAGAUGAUGUUGCUAUCGUUGAUUUAGGUCAACAACAUCACCGCCACAACAUGUUACCUGUGUAUGUUCUCUUUGAUUCUCGUACCAUGUCUCACAACCACCACCCAACAAGAACACCACCUGGGUCUGUGAUCGAUCAACCUCUUCUCUUUGAUUCUCGUAUCACCAACAAUGUUCCAACAAGAUUAAUGUCUCACAACCACAACAGUGUUUCAUCAAGAUUAACUUCACCAACAGUGUCUGUGGUAGAUGAAACUGUUCUCUAUGACUUUCCUAUCGGCAAUGUUCCAAGAAGAUCAAGGAUUCAUCAUCAAACGGGUCAUCCCCACCACAACCACCACCACCACCACAAUGGUACUCGAGCUUCUCCGGCGGUGAUGGGUGUUCAAAAUACUAGAGCUUCUGGUGCUCAAGAUACUUGUCAACAUGUCACAACAUCAACAACAGAUGCUCAAUCCAUUUGUUGCAUUUGUCUUGUUAACUUGUCUAAUGGUUCUUCCAUGCCAAUUCGGCUGCGCUGCUCUCAUGAUUUUCAUACCGACUGCAUUCAAAAAUGGAUCAACAUUAAGAAAACUUGUCCACUUUGUCGCGCCAAUGUUUAAUUUUCAUAUAUAGAGUGUUGUUGAUUUAUAAAAAUGUUUCCUUUCUUUUGUUAUUUUCCAUGUUUUGGUUUGAUGAUUUUCCAUGUUUAGGUUUGAUUCCCUUGGAUUACCGGACAUUCCUUCAAGCCCUCUGAGGUAAGUUUUUGUUGGGUUGCUGUUACCUAUGAUACAUCAUGUGUGUUGGAGUUUUGUUUGUUAGUAUAGGUUCUACAUAAAACAUAUAUGUGCUCUGUCUUUGUGUGCAAACCUGUUUUUUUGUCUAUCUUUUCUUUUAUUCUUUGUGUCAAUAUGUGUUACACCGUAUAUGUAUGUGUUGUUUGUGAAUAUUUAGAACUAUGCUUUUGUCCUUGCAAAUGUCCAGUUUUAUAGUUGUGAACAGAUGCUGAAUAACGGUAGAUAUUCAUGUUAAAAUAUUAGUCUAUUAGGCUUUGUUUCGUUUUGUCUCUAUCAAUUGUUAUAUGCUUGUUUGGUUGGAUGGAUUAUGGAAUUAACAACUAUUUUGUGACAAUGGAGAAGGUGUGGGAUCUUAAUAUGGAUUAUAGCUUAUGGGUCACGUAAGCAUGCUUUUAUGAUUCUUACUAGUUAUGAUUCUGUGGUAAAUAUGAGAAGCAAUGAAGAUAAGAAAAGGUUGAAGAUUACAUUGUCUGGAUUUGUACUCAAGGUGACGAGUAUGUUAGGUUGUAUGGCAUUCAGAUGGAACUCAAAGAUAUUCAGAGAUGCAACUUGUUUGAAAUAAAAAGUUAAAAGUUUGUCAUUUCCCAACUAAUGGUUUUUUGUUUUCUGGUAAUGUUGCAAUGUUCAAGAUUAUUUAGGUAACUACUCAAGAACUUACAAUAUUGUUUGUUGCUUUCACUUCCUUUUUCUUUGUCAAUAUGUGUUACACCAAGAAUUGGAUUGAAGUGAUUUUGUCUGAUUCCCGGUGUUUGUAUAUUGUGGUUGUUUAGUCCUAUGAAGUUUAGGUGCAUGUUGUUUAGCUUGUUAUCUAUCAUUUAUUAGAAAUAUACCUGGACUUAUAGAGUACUUUCUGUAGCUGCAACUUGUGGUAGAGUUGCGGCAGUUUUGAAGCAUCCUCCGCCACUUAAUUUUACCACAGUAGCUGCGAGCUUAAUAUAUAAUCUGGAAACCUCCGCCACUAAAUUUUACCACAGUAACUCAAUUAUUUAUUCGGUUAGGCUAAUCAUAGUGAAUUUGAGAAAACAAAAUCAAAUUCAAGUAAGAUUGCAAGUUUAACAGGAUUUGAACUUUCUGUCAAAUUUAGAUGGGUUUUUUCUUUGAAACCAACAAGUUAGAUGUGAUCCAAAUACAUAUUUACUGGAAAUGUGACUGUUGGUGAUGUUAUUUUGUUGAUUCCUUCGUAUUGUGUAUUUAAGUUGUUUGGUGAAUUGAGUGGAAAUUUUCAUUGUUGAAGAUUAUGCUUCAUCACAUUUACCGCCCAAUUGUAAGCUUCAUCUUCUUUAUAUGUCAGUAUAAAUAAUGAGUAACUACUAAUUUUGAGCAAACAUUUCAUAUCGUUCAAUUCAAGUUGGUAGAAGUGAACUGCUUCAUAGAUCAACUCAAGUCUGGCCAACCAAGGUAUGCAACACAGAUGAUUUAAUUUCAUUUAUCUUUGCUUUUUGUUUCUUAUGAUUUCAUUUCAUAUUUGUUUUAUGUACCAGCUAUACUUCUUCACCCUCUUCAAGGGUUCAGGAUGGUUCUAAAUACCUUAAGUUAAAAAUUUGUAUUGUUUGUUGUGCAUGAAUAGAAGAAUCAUUGAGUCUAAGUUCUGAAAAUGGAGAAGAAUUAGUCAUGGUGUAACGGUUGUGAUCUAUCUCAAGUCAUAUAUGUACUAUUUACUUCUUGUUUUCUAUAUUUUUUUUCUUCUUAUAGUUUUAACAUCUCUUAAUUGUAUGUUUCUCGGUUGUACAGUCAUUAUAAUUGUUAUAAUGCUAAUUGCUAAUGCCUUGAAGCUUUUGUGACCUUUUCUCAUCAGCAACAGAUUUUGAAACACUCUCCAUGUCCUUGCAUCUUCUUGCAACAUACUCAAAUUCUACUCUCGUUUGGGUGACAGAUCUAAGUUUUCCCUUCCUGCUGGUCUUGAGCCUUUGUCUAAUAAACUAAGGUACCUACAUUGUAGUGCAUAUCCUUUGAAGUUUCUACCGUCAGCUCUUUCUCCUGAGAAACUUGUUGAGCCUUGCAUGCCAAACAGCCGUGUUCAAAGAUUAUGGGACGUAGUGUAGGUUUGUGGCUUGAAAUAUAUGAAACUAAUUUAUACAUUGUAUUAUAUGUGAUCAAAGUUUUUUUGGUUUGUUACAUGAUCUAAUUAAUUUAAAGAAAAUGGACCUUAGCUGUUGUGAGCACUUGAUAGAGCUUCCUGAUUUCUCCAUGGUAUCACAUCUCCAAUACAUUCACCUCUCUAGACGUGUAAGGUUGUGUCAUGUUCAUACAUCUACUUAGCACUCCAAAAUCUUGUCAAUUUAAACCGGGUUUGGUGCAACAAGCUCAAGAGUCUUAUAAGCAAUUCCCCUUCAAACUAUGCUAAUUCUCGAGCUCUAUGGCUGCUCAAGUCUCAAGGAAUUUUCUGUGAUAUCUACAAAAAUGACAGUUUGAUUUAAGAUGAUGUAUUGCUAUCAAUGAAUUGCGGCAGCCAUAAGUUGAGUACCUUGGAAGUCUUAUGGACUUGGAGUUGAGUAGCUAUGAUAGGCACCUUAGAUAUCUUCCAAAUGAGUUCUCAUGCUUGAAAUCUCUUGGCCAUCUGGUACUUUCUGAUUGCAUGCUACUUGACGACAUGUCAAAUCUACAUCUUUUAUUUGAUGGCCGGCGUUCGUUUGGAUACUUUUGUCUGGACAACAGUUGUAAUCUGACUGAACUACCUCACAACAUUAGUCUGUUAACAUUAUUAAAUUAUUUAUCACUCAGCGGAAUCAACGUGAAGAACAUUCCUAUAAGCAUCAAGCAUCUUUCACAGCUAGAAUCUCUUGGCUUGUGCAAAUGCGUGAGCAUUUAGUCUCUACCAGAACUCUCACCAUCUAUUCAAGUGUUGGAUGUCACCAACUACACAUCCUUGGAGACCGUCGUCAUCUUCGUGUUAUCAAUGAACUACUAGAAGAGCACAAGGUAUUCAUUUCCUUCAAAAAUUGUGUGAAAUUGAAUGAAUACUCAUAGGAAAGACUUCAGUGUCAGGUACGCUUCACUGUUUAAAGAGGGGACAUGUUUUUCUUCAGAGUCAAAAUCUACAAAAGUUUUGUUGUCUAAUUCAUGGGUUUCAACACAAUAAGUCACGGAAUCAUCUAUGCUUAGGAAAUCACACAUCAGCCAUAUGACGAUUCCUUCCACAGAAAGUUCAAUUUGUUAUUGUAGGCACCUUUCCCUUUUCCAUCCGUAAGAUUAAGAAGGGCUUGAGAUUCAUGAGCAACAUUCAAAUCAUUUAAGGUCUCAUGUAUUUCACCAAAAUUGCUUCCCAUGGUUAAACGAGUAUUUAGUUAGAUUCUAGAUGGGUUCUGAUUUAGUUGUUUAUAUAACAAACUUUGUAUAUACUAGUGAUAGCUUUUUUAAACACAUAUAUUAUGGCUCUUUCUUCUUUGCUGUUUUUCUUUGGGUACACUUAUCUCUUUUCUUUAUUAUACUUGUAAAAGACUUAAUUUUAAUUGAUAUAUGAUUCAUUUAUGAAUUAUAAAGUUAACUUUGUUUCUAAAGAGUUGUUGAAUCAAGUCUUGUAAGAAGCCUGUCAUAUAUUAUAAAACAAACUUGAAACAUUAUUUCCACCAUAAUUUCUCUCCGUUAAUACACUUAUAUAUGUAGUGGCUAGUGGUCAUAAAAAUUGUGGAACUUCCAACACAUAGUGAAAUACACAACCCACUUUAACUAAGUUUCGCGAAAAAUUGUGGAACUUCCAACACAUAGUGAAAUGAUUUAUACCAUCAAAAUAGAUUGAAAUAGACAUUAGAUCAAUGUUAAGGACAUACAUGCACAACUUUAAAAUUAAAUUAAAUGAUGUUCAAGUUGGCUUUAUGUUCAUUUUUCCAUGACUGUAACUCAGUACCAGACAACUAUGCAUACAUUAAUAUUGAUUUACAACUUAAAAUGGUUUAUAUUAUAACAAACACAUUUGGUUGGUUGAAUAUCAUCUUACAGCUUUUUUUGGCAAGAUUUUAGAGUGAGAACAAUGUAUAAAAAUAAUAAUUUACAAUUUAAAAAAAACAGUUAAUAAGAAAAGGUUAAAGAUUAAUUUGUCUGGAUUGACACUCAAGCAGAUGAGGUCUGUUAGGAUGCAACUUUACCUGCUGUCAGCACACCUGUUCCUAACAGUAGUUCUUGUAGAACAAACCUAAUAAGUUUAUUUUAUUCUCUUAAUCUUGCAAUUAAUAUUUCUAUUUUUAAUUUGGUUUUGGUUGGAUGCAGUCAUACAAUUUGGAGACCAGCAUCCUGAUGAUAUUCAAAGAUGAAUUUUGUAUAUAUAGGAUACAACUUGUUUUUUUUUUGUUCUCUAGUAAUGUUGCACUGUUCAAGAUUAUUUAGGUAACUACUUAACAACUUACGAUAUUGUUCACUGCUAUCUCGCUAACACUGAUUUGUUGCUAUCUUGUUUCUCUCCUAAUAGUACUUGUUUGCUGCUAUCACAUUAGUAAGGUGUUGGUGCAAAUAUUUUAUAUCCACAAAAUUACACUUCUUGGCAUCUGUGUAGUAUUGUGAUCAUAGUCACUGCUCUAAUAUUCAUUUCUUAUAUAUCUCAGUCCAUGAAACGCAUCACAGUCCAUGAACAAAAUGAAGGGUUUCAAUUUCAACUAUAAUCAGAGCUCGCAAUUCUCUUCGGUAUGUUGUUCGAGUUAGGGUAUGCGGUAUGAAACUACAAAGAAUUAGGUUUUGAAAAAAUUGCAAAGGUUUACCACUCGCCAUUAAAGUGCCUGCAACAUCAGUCAGAAAUAGGCCUUAUGGAUUGUGUGGCGAAAGAUAGGGCUCAUGUCUUAAUAGCAAGGAAAAAUGCAACUGAUGCAGACAAUUACAACCAUAAUAUUGUCCUUCAUGAUCCUGUUAAUAAAUUGGAAUUUACCAAAGAACCAAUUGAGCAGAGAAGAAGAAUGAUCAUUGACAUGAAUCAAGAUUUCCCAAUAUGAAGGAAGAUAGAGGUAGGAGAAGAAAUGAUGCUUCUCCAAAGAGAAAUGCACAUCAACAAGGAUAUAUAUCCACAUGAUUUGACGAAGCAGAGACCAUUGUAGAUAUCUGCAUUGCAUCCGGAAGACAAAGGUAGAGAAAUCUAAAGUGAGUAGCAUUGUUCUAUGGACGGCAACGACAGGGGAACGACUUUUCAAUAACUAUAGUGAAGGAGGCAAUUUUCGCUAAGAAAACUACAAUUAAAUGUAUUGAGCUAGUCAAGAUAGAGGGAUUUUAGUUGUGUUAGUAGCUUUUGACUAUUUGUGUACAGCAAAAUGUGUCUUUUCUCAGUUUUUGUUUUUAUUCAAGUUAACAUAACAUGUUUGUGCAAUUGUUCAAUCAAAGUUUCUAAUGCAGUUGGAAAAUGAAAGGUCAUUCUAAUUCUGAUUCAUUAAUGUAAUAAAGUGAAUAAGGCACAUAAAGAUACAACAUUUAUCAUUAAUUAAUGUAAUUGUUAACAUUA